UACGAAGGGGGCUAGCGUUGCUCGGAAUCACUGGGCGUAAAGCGCACGUAGGCGGACUCUUAAGUCGGGGGGUGAAAUCCUGGAGCUCAACUCCAGAACUGCCUUUGAUACUGAGGAGCUUGAGUCCGGGAGAGGUGAGUGGAACUGCGAGUGUAGAGGUGAAAUUCGUAGAUAUUCGCAAGAACACCAGUGGCGAAGGCGGCUCACUGGCCCGGUACUGACGCUGAGGUGCGAAAGCGUGGGGAGCAAACAGG
rnacentral:rRNA from 1 species